UACGAGUACCCCGAGCGUUAUCCGGAAUUAUUGGGCGUAAAGGGUGUGUAGGCGGUUGUAUUAGUCUCUCGUUAAAGCCACGGGCUCAACCUGUGAUGGGCGAGGGAAACGGUAUGACUAGAGCAUGUGAGAGGUAUAUGGAACUCAUGGUGUAGGGGUGAAAUCCGUUGAUAUCAUGGGGAACACCAAAUGCGAAGGCAGUAUACUGGCGCAUUGCUGACGCUGAAACACGAAAGCGUGGGUAGCGAAU
rnacentral:rRNA from 1 species